ensembl:lncRNA
GCUGAUACUCUGUGUGUAUCAUGGUCCUCUCAACUGUGAUUUAUGCUGCGACAGAACGGGUCAAAAUUAUCAAGGAAAAUCCAUUCAGAUACAUUAGAAGUAUUUCCUUAUUUUAUUGUUGGAAUACUACUAAAGAGGAGUACACUCAGCAUUGACCUGCUCUGCCACAUUGGCCAAGGAACUCCCGGAGGGAACAGAUGGAGGCUCCUGCCUAUGUGAUAGGCCUUGACCAGAGUCCUAAGCCCCACUGUUCUGCUGAUGCUGCGCCUGGAUGUGAUGAGGAGGACACCUGGAGCUUCUCUUUGAAUUUAGCUACAUCCCAACAGGAUUGAUGCUGAUUCCAGUCACACUCAGCAUUUUGCAGAAUGUGUGAUUAUAUCACAGAGUGGCACAACUCAAGUGCAGCCAGAAAUGCCUUGCCAAAGAAAAAGGAAAGACCCUGUUAGUUGCAUGGAGGUCCAUUAGAAGAUCUGAGGGAAACCUGUGGGUGGCUGAGCUGUGAGCACUGCUGUGGUAGAAGCAGCUGCCAGACCAUAAGCACCAUGAGCAGGACAGUGCUGGUACUUCUGGAGCAGCAGCAAGCGAACGUUUCAGCGCAGACCUUGGUUUGUUACAGAGAUCUCUCUGCUGUCUGGUUUCCAGGUUGCUAGGACACAUGAAAACUGUUCUGAUUCAUUUGUCCACAGGAAAAAAAAUAGGAAGAGCACGGAUAUUUGAGAAUGCAGGUUAGUACUGCCUUGAUCCACUCCCAAGCUGUGUACAUGUGCCCUGGGGCUAGCUCCAGGUGCAGGCCUGUGGAGAAAGUCUCCAGGGAACAUAUGUUUAAAAAAAAGAACAAGGUUAUUAUAGGAUUUAUUUGUUAGGGGAAACCUGGCUGCAGUAUCUGAUCCAGGUAGAGGCAGAAAGGAACAUCCCAGUUUGCUGCAGCAGUCACAUGGGUUAGAGAGGUUGUUAAAAGAGGGUGAAAGGGCUGUUGUCAUCUUUGCAUGCUUUACCUGUCUCAGCUGGCAAAUGGCUGCUGUCUUAUCCUGAAUGAGACAGAGCUAAUAUUCAUUCAGGUUUGUCUGUCAGACAACAUGAAAGCAAUCAGACGGCAGAAACCAGGCUUAUAGAAAAAGUGAAGCAUUAUUGGCAAAACAUUUUGCAAUCUCUGCUGAUUUUAUCCACCGCCCUUCAACAUGCUCUACAAACCUGUGUAGUUAGCAAUGUGGAGGGGUCUCUAGAUAAGAAAAUCAGGAGUAGAGGUACCUUUUUAGAAUAAUGCUGAUGGUAGGAGAAGGCUGCCAUUUCCAUUUUUUUCCUGUCAGAACUCAAAGUAGUGAAUUUAGCACCAUUUAGUGGCUUAAAAGUCUCCUGGAAGAUGAAUUAUUUCAGUAACAUUAGUAGCUGACUCAAGGUUUGAACAUUUUUAUUUCUUUUUCUUCAGAAAUGGCUGAAAAACUAAUUAAACCAGAGUGGAUGUUUUAUCAUGUCAUCUUCAUAUUUUUCAUACAUAUCAAUAUACACUCAGUUUUGUAUUGGAUUACAGACAGAGAUACAGGAAAUCUGUGAAACCAAGUCUGUUUACAGUUUGAUAUUGGCAUUUUUCCAUUAAAAAAGAAAUUGGAGGGUUUAAUAAGAAAAAUAUGCUUCUCGGGGAGCAAGUCAAGUCUUGCUCUAUAUCAAAUGUAGAUAUAUAUCCUUGCUUUUGCCAAGAGCUGCUUCUGCCCUCAUGGAAGUCGGUCAGUCUCUGUCUCAGUUAUGCAAAUUGGGAAUCAGCACAUCCCUGUUUCCUGGUAGCUGUGGUAGAGCAUAUUUAUGAAAGAGUGUGAGGCAACAUUUUGGCUAAGCUGCACAGGGAUGUCUUUGAUCAAUUACUCAUGGCAAUUACUGCAUCCACCUGAAGAAGGGCUAGGAGUCUUUUAGGUGAGGCUCACUGGGUACCACAGGAAUGUACCUACCAUAGCUUUAGAUGACCUGUUCUAGGCUUUACCCAUUGUGCUGUUUGUUUCUGUCCAGGGCGGCAAAAAAAAAAAAAAAAAAAAAAAAAAAAAAAAAAAAAAAAAAAAAAAAAAAAAAAA